rnacentral:lncRNA from 1 species
AGCAAGUAUAAAACGCCAAAAGACAGUUGGAUAGCCUGUACAAUCUCACAUGAAAGGAAGCCCUGUUGAUGACAUUACAGAAGAAAAAUUAAAAAUAAUGCAGGGAUCCUCUUCUUUUUUAGCCAUUUAUGAUCAUGUGACUUGGUACUUUUUUCUCUAAUCAAACGCAGAGUGGGGUUGGGGUUCCCUCCCCCCACACCCACUUGCUUAUUCACUCACUCACCUCAAAAAGCUAAAGAAUUUAUGAUAUGCUUCCGUUUAUAAUGUUUUCUUGUUAUUUCACAUCUCCAGACUCUAACUUCUUUGAACCUAAAUCUUUUCUUGUAUACUCAAAUGGAAUUCUCCAAAUACGUUGGAGUUGCUGAAGAGUGUAGCAGCAGUGAAUCAGGAUGGACCAUGUACAUUGUUUCUCCCAUGCAUGAAACCAGUUACAACCAUCAUCAUGAUCAUGUUGAUGAUGAGAUUUAUGAGAGUCAUGGUGAUUAUAGCACAUACCAUAAUGCAGAUAGUGAUGAUUCCAUGGUCUCAGAUGCCUCUUCUGGUCCAAUUCGUCAAGGAAUCUUGCGUGGAAGCUCAAAGAGACGUGAGUCCAAGCAUGCAGUGAAAAGAAACCUGUUGGGAAAGAAUGAAAGGCAAGUUGAGAAGAAGUUAUAUGAGAGAAGGCAAAGAGCUGAGAAAGAAGAACACAAGACAAGGGGUGAAAAUAAGGCAAGGACGAUUAAUUAGGUUGUGUCCGGUUUAAUUUGUUCCUUAAUUUUUAUCUGUUUUUAUGGAAUUUCAAGACCCUGAUAUAAGGGGUGGAAUCCAUUUUCAUGCACAUACAUUUGUUGUUUCAGUAUGUUGAAAUCAAGGUGCCAAGAAUCGAAGCUAAUGCACGUAAAAACAUGAUAUUACACUACAAAACUGUGUUCGUGCUCAUUGAUGUGAUUGAUAACAUUAUGAUUUCACAUGAACAUGAACAUGCAUUUGGUUAGAAAGUAAAUGAACAUAUAUAGAUAACUGUAGAACCUACCGAGUAUUACGAUCAUUGCAUUGCAGAAACAUCUGUAGGACCAAAAAUGACCAAUAUGAUGAUCCAGCAAGAUUCAGGAUAUGAGAUUGCCAACAAUGGAGAAAGCAUUUGGAAUUUAUGAUAUAGAGUUCACUAAAAGAAAAAAAAUUGUUUGCAAUAAUAUAUUGUCUAAAAUGUAGAUUCCCUUGUUAAAAGUGAGCUUGCAAUGGAAUUUAAGGAGGAAAAGUCCAC